UACGUAGGGGGCUAGCGUUGUCCGGAUUUAUUGGGCGUAAAGAGCGUGUAGGCGGCCAGGUAGGUCUGCUGUGAAAACUCGAGGCUCAACCUCGAGACGACGGCGGAAACCAUCUGGCUAGAGUCCGGAAGAGGAGAGUGGAAUUCCUGGUGUAGCGGUGAAGUGCGCAGAUAUCAGGAAGAACACCCGUGGCGAAGGCGGCUCUCUGGGACGGUACUGACGCUGAGACGCGAAAGCGUGGGGAGCGAACAGG
rnacentral:rRNA from 1 species